ACGGGUGAGUAACACGUGAGUAACCUGCCCUUGACUCUGGGAUAAGCGUUGGAAACGACGUCUAAUACCGGAUAUGAGCUAGGACCGCAUGGUCACUAGCUGGAAAGAACUUCGGUCAAGGAUGGACUCGCGGCCUAUCAGCUAGUUGGUGAGGUAACGGCUCACCAAGGCGACGACGGGUAGCCGGCCUGAGAGGGUGACCGGCCACACUGGGACUGAGACACGGCUCAGACUCCUACGGGAGGCAGCAGUGGGGAAUAUUGCACAAUGGGCGCAAGCCUGAUGCAGCAACGCCGCGUGAGGGACGACGGCCUUCGGGUUGUAAACCUCUUUUAGCAGGGAAGAAGCGCAAGUGACGGUACCUGCAGAAAAAGCACCGGCUAACUACGUGCCAGCAGCCGCGGUAAUACGUAGGGUGCAAGCGUUGUCCAGAAUUAUUGGGCGUAAAGAGCUCGUAGGCGGUCUGUCGCGUCUGCUGUGAAAACCCGAGGCUCAACCUCGGGCCUGCAGUGGGUACGGGCAGACUAGAGUGCGGUAGGGGAGAUUGGAAUUCCUGGUGUAGCGGUGGAAUGCGCAGA
rnacentral:rRNA from 1 species